UACGUAGGGUGCGAGCGUUGUCCGGAAUUACUGGGACGGUAAAGCGUGCGUAGGCGGUUCGUUAAGUGCGAUUCGUGAAAGCCCCUGGGCUCAACCUGGGAAUGGCGAUGGAAACUGGCGGGCUGGAGUAUGGCAGAGGGGGUGGAAUUCCGCGUGUAGCAGUGAAAUGCGUAGAGAUGCGGAGGAACACCGAUGGCGAAGGCAGCCCCCUGGGCCAACACUGACGCUCAGGCACGAAAGCGUGGGGAGCAAACAGG
rnacentral:rRNA from 1 species